GUAGGGUGCGAGCGUUAAUCGGAAUUACUGGGCGUAAAGCGUGCGCAGGCGGUUCUGCAAGUCAGAUGUGAAAUCCCCGGGCUUAACCUGGGAACUGCGUUUGAAACUACGGAGCUAGAGUGCGGCAGAGGGGGGUGGAAUUCCACGUGUAGCAGUGAAAUGCGUAGAUAUGUGGAGGAACACCGAUGGCGAAGGCAGCCCCCUGGGCCGACACUGACGCUCAGGCACGAAAGCGUGGGGAGCAAACAGGAUUAGAUACCCUGGUAGUCCACGCCCUAAACUAUGCGAACUAGUUGUCGGGGAAGCAAUUCUUUGGUAACGAAGCUAACGCGUGAAGUUCGCCGCCUGGGGAGUACGGUCGCAAGAUUA
rnacentral:rRNA from 1 species